rnacentral:rRNA from 1 species
GACGAACGCUGGCGGCGUGCUUAACACAUGCAAGUCGAACGCUGAAGCACCAGCUUGCUGGUGUGGAUGAGUGGCGAACGGGUGAGUAAUACGUGAGUAACCUGCCCUUGACUCUGGGAUAAGCCCGGGAAACUGGGUCUAAUACUGGAUGCUACAUGUCACCGCAUGGUGGUGUGUGGAAAGGGUUUACUGGUCUUGGAUGGGCUCACGGCCUAUCAGCUUGUUGGUGAGGUAAUGGCUCACCAAGGCGACGACGGGUAGCCGGCCUGAGAGGGUGACCGGCCACACUGGGACUGAGACACGGCCCAGACUCCUACGGUAGGCAGCAGUGGGGAAUAUUGCACAAUGGGCGAAAGCCUGAUGCAGCGACGCCGCGUGAGGGAUGACGGCCUUCGGGUUGUAAACCUCUUUCAGCAGGGAAGAAGCCACAAGUGACGGUACCUGCAGAAGAAGCGCCGGCUAACUACGUG